UGCUUGCAUGCAUCUUUCAUCCACGAGGGUUCUUGUUAGGGAAACGUUUGUGGCCAGCGGUCUGGCUGAAACUUCGGCCGGUCGUGCGCGGCGCGUACGAUACAAGCAAUCGUAUGUUCCAUAUUCUUCUUCACGCCAACACACUAGCGCGUGGGCCUCGUGCGGCUGCUGGCCCAUCUGCUCACCCAACCUUAUCUCUUCCUCACGCUCACCCAGCCUUAUCUCUUCCUCACGAGACUCCUCAACCAUUCGUUCUCCACCGCCGCUCUAUCUCUAUGUCUCUCUCAAUCCAAUUCAAGCAUGGCGACUGCAAGCAAGGUCAGUUUUGCGAGUUCUUGGCCGCAUCGCUGGGUUGUGUGGGGUGGCGAUGCUGCAACACCAGGUGGGCGCCGACGGGCCUGAUGGUGGUGCGGGGGGACGCACCCAUGGAUGCUGGCGAGAGUUACAACCAUGGCGGCUAGAUGCUGGAACCCAUACAAAUUUUUGCUUCUAUUGGCGUUUUGUUUUUUGCUGAAACUAGCGCCGUUUUUUAAUGUUUUGCUACCACCGUUUUGUUUUUUUCUGGAACCAGCAUCAUUUUUCGCUACCACCAGAUUUUUGAUUUGCUGGAACCAGCCCCUCGACUAUGCAUCUUUGCUACCACCACGGCGGCCAGAUGCUGGAAUCAGCACAAUUUUUUUCUUCCAUCGAAGUUUUGGUUUUGCUGAAACUAAUGUCAUUUUUUGUAUUUUUUGCUACCACUGUUUUGUAUUUUGCUGGAACCAGCGUCAAUUUUUGCUACCACCGGAUUUUUGAAAUGCUGGAACCAGCCCUCAACUUUGCAUCUUUGCUACCACCGGCGUUUUGGAAUGCUAGAAUAAGCUUCAAUUUUUGCUACCACCAGAUUUUGGUUUGUUGGAAUGGCGUCUGAUUCCGUUUUUUUGCUACCACCAUUAUUUGAUUUGCUGGAACCAUGGCCAAUAUUUGCUACCACUGCCGUUUGCUGCGAGACCAUGGAGUCGUCGCCAUUGUUUCUGCAGGAGGGCGAGGGAGGGGGAUGGGCCGCGCCGCAAAUUGAGUGCGAGGUACGGCGCGAGCUCGACGACGGGGUGAUGUGGCCAUCUCCACAGGGGUUGCCAUGGCCGAUAUGCGCGCGCGGCCAAGGAUGCGGCGGCCCGUGGGUUGCCGGCGAGCACGAGCCCGAGGACGAACGUGGGGCGGCCAAGGAUGCGGCGGCGAGCGCGGAUUGCCUGCGAGCCCGAGUCCGAGGAUGAGCGCUGGCGGCGCAAGUAGAAGACAAGCGCGGCGCCGAAGUAAAGCUGCGCGAGACGGCGAGAUGCGGAGAGCUGCACGAGCGCGAGGAGGAAGAUGUCUAGGGCGAACCCUUUUUUUUUGCUAUAUCCAACGGUCAGGGCUAGUGGCAUCCGGUGGCUAGGGCGCGACCGGCCCAAAUUUGGGCCGGCGUGCCAGCGCCUAGCGUUGCUCUUCUUGUUAACGGAGUUUCGGCAGAGCUUAUCUACAACAAGAGUGGGUCCCUUUCCCCGCUCCGGCAGCAGCAUUGGGGAAGACCCCACUGGCUACCCAACCAUGACUCCGAGCUUGUCAAGUGGUAGGCCGAGAAUUUUGAGACACUUUGGACAGGUGUGACACCGGUGGCUUGGAAACUUUGGAAACAUCGGAACAGGGUGGUGUUCAACGAUGCUUCACCUUCGGCUAGUGUUGUGUGCUCAGCAGGUACAACUAGAGGGACAAAACUGGAGGGCAGCGUGUUGCAUUCUAGGGUACAAGGGUUGUCUGACAGCGAGUUGUCAGCGUGUGAAGACGUGGGCUCUAGGAGCCGUGGGUGUAAUGUAAAACCUUUCUGGAGCCAUCUAGGCGUUGCUUAUCUAUGAUCUUCUUCUCUUUUUU